CUAUGCGCCUUGCCAGCCCGCUCAGGUGUGCCAGCCGCCGCGGUAAUACUAGGGGGCGAAGCGUUAUCCGGAAUUACUGGGUGUAAAGGGUGAGUAGGCGGCAUGGUAAGCCAGAUGUGAAAGCCUUGGGCUUAACCCGAGGAUUGCAUUUGGAACUAUCAAGCUAGAGUACAGGAGAGGAAAGCGGAAUUCCUAGUGUAGCGGUGAAAUGCGUAGAUAUUAGGAAGAACACCAGUGGCGAAGGCGGCUUUCUGGACUGAAACUGACGCUGAGGCACGAAAGCGUGGGGAGCGAACAGG
rnacentral:rRNA from 1 species